rnacentral:misc_RNA from 1 species
CAGGAAAUCAGCACGGUGCUUCAGAAGCUGGAAACCAAACAAAAGUCUUGCACCAGUGAAGCGGAUUGUCCUGCUUCGCCCGAACACGACGACAGCGUUUUCUUGAGCUCCACAGAGAUCUGUAAAGAGGAUAUUGGCAAACGCGCGCCUCUACUGAAACCGUUCCAGACGGCAGCCAAGUGUAUGCGGUGUAGAUCGAGGUUCAGCAGCACUAUGAAGAAAUACAACUGCAAGGGGUGCGGAUUCGUGAUCUGUGGGAAGUGUUCGCGACGCACCAAGCUGGAGUACAGGAACAUGAAGCCGGAAUGCGUCUGUUACGAAUGUUACAUGCUGCUCCACACCGACUCCAGUUCGGAAAACUCCGACAUCAACGAAGACGAUUGAUAGAUCUACAUGUAUGAUCGGGAAAGAAAAACAAAAAAGAGUUUCCAUUAGAGGGAGAUAACUCUCUUAACUGCUCAUACUCUAACAAUGCUUCAUAUUAUUUGACAAUGUGAUAAGGUGUGAAUUUGUUUUCAAAAUAGGUUUCUUUUUUGUGGGUAGCGUUACAAAAAUUGUACGUAGAGGAAAUGUUUUCUGUAAAACAUGCUAGAUUUGCUGGAUGUAAUUGUUGAAAAGCUCUCCCCCCCCCCCCACUUUUUUUUUUCUUUUUUUCUUUUUGUUUGCUUAUUUUAAAUGU